GACGAACGCUGGCGGCGUGCUUAACACAUGCAAGUCGAACGAAGAGCGAUGGAAGCUUGCUUCUAUCAAUCUUAGUGGCGAACGGGUGAGUAACGCGUAAUCAACCUGCCCUUCAGAGGGGGACAACAGUUGGAAACGACUGCUAAUACCGCAUACGAUCUAACCUCGGCAUCGAGGAUAGAUGAAAGGUGGCCUCUACAUGUAAGCUAUCACUGAAGGAGGGGAUUGCGUCUGAUUAGCUAGUUGGAGGGGUAACGGCCCACCAAGGCGAUGAUCAGUAGCCGGUCUGAGAGGAUGAACGGCCACAUUGGGACUGAGACACGGCCCAGACUCCUACGGGAGGCAGCAGUGGGGAAUCUUCCGCAAUGGACGAAAGUCUGACGGAGCAACGCCGCGUGAGUGAUGACGGCCUUCGGGUUGUAAAGNUCUGUUAAUCGGGACGAAAGGCCUUCUUGCGAAUAGUGAGAAGGAUGAC
rnacentral:rRNA from 1 species